rnacentral:rRNA from 1 species
UGAAGUGCACAUGGUGGAUGCCUUGGCAGUCAGAGGCGAUGAAAGACGUGGUAGCCUGCGAUAAGCUUUGGGGAGUCGGCAAACAGACUGUGAUCCAGAGAUCUCUGAAUGGGGGAACCCAGCCAGCAUAAGCUGGUUAUCUUGUACUGAAUACAUAGGUGCAAGAGGCGAACCAGGGGAACUGAAACAUCUAAGUA